CUCUCUCCUCUCUCCUCUCUCCUCUCUUCCAGUCGUUCGUUUUCUCUCACCUUCUCUCUCCUCUCAGCCUUCGUUUUCUCUCACCCUCCCUCCUCACUCACCGUCGCCAACCCUCGCUCGACACGGCCUCACUCAAUCGUCGUUCGUCGAGAUGCGGGAUGCGGAGGGUUGAUGCGAGAAUUCGUGGUGGUGGUUUUCUCGAGCCGCUUUCGUUCUCCUCUUCGCCGGUCGAUCGUUCUCCUCUUCGCCGGUGGUCGAUCGUUCGUCUCUGGUAGCCUCCAACAGAUCUAGUUGCGUUGAUUACGAUUUGUCGAGUGCUGAAGAGGUUUUCGUUGGGUUGAUUCAUUUUGUUCUUCGUGGGUUCACCUGGUGAAGAUGAAGACUCGCUCGUGCGCUCGUCGUUCUAAUUCUUUGUUCCUCAAAAAUCUCCAGAUUCUAUUUUCUGCAUUUUUAUUUUUUGAGAUUCAAUAUAGUAUUAGGUUCUGAUUUUUGGUUAUUUUUGUAAUAUUUUUGUUUUGAAUCUCUUUUCUUAUGUGUUGUAUUUUUUGUGUAUUUUUUUUGUUUUUGAAUUUUGUGUAUCUCUUCUGUUUUUGAGUAUUUUUCUUUUGAUGUUAGUUUCGAACUUAUGUCUUUAUUAUUUGAGAAAUUUUAAUUUGUUGUGUUUA